rnacentral:misc_RNA from 1 species
GAUGAAGAACGUAGCGAAAUGCGAUAAGUAAUGCGAAUUGCAGAAUCCGUGAGUCAUCGAAUCUUUGAACGCACAUUGCGCCCCCUGGUAUUCCGGGGGGCAUGCCUGUCCGAGCGUCAUUGCUGCCCUCAAGCACGGCUUGUGUGUUGGGCCCCGCCCCCCGGCUCCCGGGGGGCGGGCCCGAAAGGCAGCGGCGGCACCGCGUCCGGUCCUCGAGCGUAUGGGGCUUCGUCACCCGCUCCGUAGGCCCGGCCGGCGCCCGCCGGCGACCCCCCUCAAUCUUUUCAGGUUGACCUCGGAUCAGGUAGGGAUACCCGCUGAACUUAAGCAUAUCAAUAAGCGGAGGA